UUGUGAUGAAACCAAACCUACAAAGCUGGAAUUACCGGCAGACUUUUGCUGUUGAGAAGGUUCUCUCUGAGC
ensembl:snoRNA